CAUACGCGGGAAAAUUUAACAGAAAAGUUGACGCUGAAAAGUUUUGAAAAAGGAACAUAGUCGAGUUAUUUUCCAACUAACUUUUUAUAACCAAUGUUAUAGUUUCCUUAUCAAGUUUUGGAUUUAUAAAAAUAAAAGUUAAGUGUCUGUUUUAGUUCCGAAUGAUAUAAAAAGUUAAAUUGCUGACCCGAGAACAUUAAAUUGAUUUCCUGCUACUGACAGAAGAAACCACGAUGACUCAAUUAUGAUACGACUUUACUGUCAUUAAGGAAACUAAAUAAUCAACCAUAAACAGUAUGAAAACCUGUGAACCAUUGCAAAUAAGAAAGAAAAACCACAAAAAGUAUCAAACUUAUAACAAUGACAACAUCAAUAACAAGCCUAAAAGGAAUAUGAUUGUUAUAUAAUUUGAGCAAAAACUAUGCAGAACGCAUGGCCAACAAACGAAACCUCUUUGUAUAACGACAUCAUUACUGCGUUCGAGAAUACUUCAACAGAUGACAAUGUUACAUUGCCGGAUCCGAUUGAAGAUAAAGCGAUUCAAGCUGCUUUCUGCACGGCGUACACAAUUAUUUUCGUAGUAGGCAUCUUCGGUAAUGCUCUUGUUUGCUAUGCGGUAAUCAGAAAUCGAGCCAUGCAAACUGUCACUAAUCUGUUUAUCACGAACUUGGCCUUGUCCGAUAUAUUGUUAUGUGUAUUUGCAGUCCCAUUUACUCCUCUUUACACGUUCUUAGGCAGAUGGGUAUUUGGGGGCUUACUCUGUCAUAUCAUGCCCUAUGCUCAAGGCUGCAGCGUCUACAUUUCCACUUUAACCCUCACUUCAAUUGCCAUCGAUAGGUUCUUUGUUAUAAUAUACCCAUUCAAACCCCGGAUGAAAAUUAAAACUUGUAUUGGUCUUAUUAUUUUCAUUUGGGUAUUCGCUUUGUUUGUAACAUUUCCUUACGGAUAUUAUAUGACCCUACAGGACGUCUAUUGUGCUGAAAAAUGGCCGUCAGAUCAAUUCCGAAAAGCCUUCGGGGCUGUGACAACGAUCAUGCAGUUUGUGUUCCCGUUCAUAGUGAUGGCAUUUUGUUACACUUGUGUUAGUAUAAAAUUAAAUGAUCGGCUUAAAUCUAGACCCGGCAGUAAGAACAGUAAAAAAGAAGAUGCAGAAAGAGAAAGAAAAAGAAGAACAAAUAGAAUGCUUAUAGCAAUGGUAGCGAUAUUUGGCCUUUCAUGGUUGCCAUUGAAUUUGAUAAACAUAAGUAGUGACUUUUAUUCCUUAGCUGAAGAUUGGAGGUACUAUAUGGUUUUAUUUUUCAUUGCACACUUUAUAGCAAUGUCAUCAACUUGUUAUAAUCCAUUCCUGUAUGCAUGGCUCAACGAAAAUUUCCGCAAAGAGUUUAAGCAGAUUCUCCCGUGUUUAGGGGCAUUUGUUGCCAAGAAGUCAAAAAGAAACUUUAACCAGUCUGAGAGAACAGGAAUGUACCGUUCAGAAAAGACGUGCAAUGGAAAUGAUACGAUCCAAGAGUCUCUUUUAACAUCUGUAACUAAGCCCACUGUUAAGUAUAAUAUAGAAUAUAAUGAUAAGUUAAAGGUUUAUGAAGACGAUGUCGAAAACGUAAGUCCAGAUGAGAAGCCAGAGGACAAUCCCAGUCCAAAUGAACAAGACUGCGUUAAAAUGUAUAUGUUUGUAGAUAAAUCUGUGGUUUCAUCGGAUAAGGAGCCAAUCGUAUCAGCACUUUAAUUAUGUGUGUGGGCAUCAUGAGCAAUGCUGCGGCGGAUGCUGCUUUCAUGGAGCAUGCAUUGAUACGUACAGAUCCUGUCUGAGCGAUUUGAACGUGUGCAAAGACCAUGUCUGUCGGGGUGAAGAAAACUGCGUUGUGUUUAAACCACGGAGGUGCAAUGGAUGCGAACCGAUGCCAUUAUGUCGAACGACAAAAGAAACAUAGUGUCAUGGUUGAGAAAGUUAGCUUUCUUAUUGUAAACUUAUUGAAAAAUAUUUUAACAAACUCACAUAACAUAUUAAACUAUGGU